CGUUUGACCUCGGAUCAGGUAGGGAUACCCGCUGAACUUAAGCAUAUCAAUAAGCGGAGGAAAAGAAACCAACAGGGAUUGCCCUAGUAACGGCGAGUGAAGCGGCAACAGCUCAAAUUUGAAAUCUGGCUCUUUCAGAGUCCGAGUUGUAAUUUGCAGAGGGCGCUUUGGCUUUGGCAGCGGUCCAAGUUCCUUGGAACAGGACGUCACAGAGGGUGAGAAUCCCGUACGUGGUCGCUAGCUAUUGCCGUGUAAAGCCCCUUCGACGAGUCGAGUUGUUUGGGAAUGCAGCUCUAAAUGGGAGGUAAAUUUCUUCUAAAGCUAAAUAUUGGCCAGAGACCGAUAGCGCACAAGUAGAGUGAUCGAAAGAUGAAAAGCACUUUGGAAAGAGAGUCAAACAGCACGUGAAAUUGUUGAAAGGGAAGCGCUUGCAGCCAGACUUGCUUGCAGUUGCUCAUCCGGGCUUUUGCCCGGUGCACUCUUCUGCAGGCAGGCCAGCAUCAGUUUGGGCGGUGGGAUAAAGGUCUCUGUCACGUACCUUCCUUCGGGUUGGCCUUAUAGGGGAGACGCCAUACCACCAGCCUGGACUGAGGUCCGCGCAUCUGCUAGGAUGCUGGCGUAAUGGCUGUAAGCGGCCCGUCUUGAAACACGGACCAAGGAGUCUAACAUCUAUGCGAGUGUUUGGGUGUCAAGCCCGAGCGCGUAAUGAAAGUGAACGGAGGUGGGAACCCGCAAGGGUGCACCAUCGACCGAUCCUGAAGUUUACGGAAGGAUUUGAGUAAGAGCAUGGCUGUUGGGACCCGAAAGAUGGUGAACUAUGCUUGAAUAGGGUGAAGCCAGAGGAAACUCUGGUGGAGGCUCGCAGCGGUUCUGACGUGCAAAUCGAUCGUCAAAUUUGGGCAUAGGGGCGAAAGACUAAUCGAACUAUCUAGUAGCUGGUUCCUGCCGAAGUUUCCCUCAGGAUAGCAGUAACGUAUUCAGUUUUUAUGAGGUAAAGCGAAUGAUUAAAGGCAUG
rnacentral:rRNA from 1 species